rnacentral:rRNA from 1 species
UACGGAGGGUGCAAGCGUUGUUCGGAAUCAUUGGGCGUAAAGCGCGUGUAGGCGGCCAAGUAAGUCUGGUGUGAAAGCCCGGGGCUUAACCCCGGAAGUGCACUGGAUACUGCUUGGCUAGAGGACGAGAGAGGGAAGUGGAAUUCCUGGUGUAGGGGUGAAAUCCGUAGAUAUCAGGAGGAACAUCGGUGGCGAAGGCGACUUCCUGGCUCGUUUCUGACGCUCAGACGCGAAAGCGUGGGGAGCAAACAGG